AUUGAACGCUGGCGGCAGGCCUAACACAUGCAAGUCGAACGGCAGCACAGAGGAGCUUGCUCUUUGGGUGGCGAGUGGCGGACGGGUGAGUAAUGUCUGGGAAACUGCCCGAUGGAGGGGGAUAACUACUGGAAACGGUAGCUAAUACCGCAUAACGUCGCGAGACCAAAGUGGGGGACCUUCGGGCCUCACACUAUCGGAUGUGCACAAGUGGGAUUAGCUAGUAGGUGGGGUAAAGGCUCACCUAGGCGACGAUCCCUAGCUGGUGUGAGAGGAUGACCAGCCACACUGGAACUGAGACACGGUCCAGACUCCUACGGGAGGCAGCAGUGGGGAAUAUUGCACAAUGGGCGCAAGCCUGAUGCAGCCAUGCCGCGUGUAUGAAGAAGGCCUUCGGGUUGUAAAGUACUUUCAGCGGGGAGGAAGGCGGUGAGGUUAAUAACCUUGCCGAUUGACGUUACCCGCAGAAGAAGCACCGGCUAACUCCGUGCCAGCCGCCGCAGUAA
rnacentral:rRNA from 1 species